rnacentral:lncRNA from 10 species
UCUGGAGGCUAGAAGUCCAAGAUCAAGGCGUCACCAGGCUGAUUUCUUCUGAGGCCUCUCUCCUUGGCUUGCAAGAAGCUUGGCUACAAACGUCUAACACUGUGGUGCAGUGCAAUGUCUACUCAUCAGCUUGAAGUGCGGAUUAAUUGUUCAAACUCAGUGACAACAGGCUGGACAUUCACCAACAGAUCCAAGGUCUUCAUCGGAUUCACCGGCUAAAACCAUCUAUCAACAAGCAUCUGUUGGCUCAUUUGCUGAGAAAUAAGGCACAAUGUUGAAGGGAGAAAAGGGAGAUGCUGGAAUUCAUACAUAAUUCUUGUUUUUUUUUUUCUUUCAACAAUAAUUGCUAACAUCGUUGAGUGUCAGGUCCUUUGUGAACUGUACCCUCACAACACUGCCAUCAUGUAAACAUGUGAUGAUUUUCAUAUUGUAAAUGUGAAAAUAAAGGCUUACAGUUGACAGACUCAGUCUGUUCUCAAAGGGGAUUUAUGCCCCAUAGUGGGAACUUCUGGAAACAUGCUCUUGGGUACGGGUCUGUGGCAGCUGUCAGGAGGGCUUUUUUUUCCCCAAGCCAAACUGUAUUCAGUUUUAUUAAAGAUACUGUCCAUCGGCC